rnacentral:tRNA from 1 species
GGGGAUAUAGAUUAGUUGGCUAAAUCGUCAGCUCGACACGCUGAAGAUCACUGGUUCGAGUCCAGUUAUUCCCA